rnacentral:rRNA from 1 species
GACGUAGGGCGCGAGCGUUGUCCGGAUUUAUUGGGCGUAAAGAGCUCGUAGGCGGCUUGUUACGUCGUUCGUGAAAACUUGGGGCUCAACCCCAAGCUUGCGGUCGAUACGGGCAGGCUAGAGUUCGGUAGGGGAGACUGGAAUUCCUGGUGUAGCGGUGAAAUGCGCAGAUAUCAGGAGGAACACCGGUGGCGAAGGCGGGUCUCUGGGCCGUAACUGACGCUGAGGAGCGAAAGCAUGGGGAGCGAACAGG